rnacentral:rRNA from 1 species
CCUACGGGAGGCAGCAGUGAGGAAUAUUGGUCAAUGGACGAGAGUCUGAACCAGCCAAGUAGCGUGAAGGAUGACUGCCCUAUGGGGUUUAACUUUCUUUUAUAAAGGACUAUAACGAUGCACGUUUGCCUUUUUGCAUGUACUUUAUGAUUAACGAUCGGCUAACUCCUUGCAAGCGGCCGCGGUAAUACGGAGAGUCCGAGCGUUAUCCGGAUUUAUUGGGUUUAAGGGGAGCGUAGAUGGGUUGUUAAGUCAGUUGUGAAAGCUUGCGGCUAAAGCGUAAAAUUGCAAUUGAUACUGGCAGUCUUGAGUACAGUUGAGGUAAGCGGAAUGCGUGGUGUAGCGGUGAAAUGCUUAGAUAUCACGCAGAACACCGAUUGCGAAGGCAGCUUACUAAACUGUGACUGACAUUGAUGCUCGAAAGUGUGGGUAUCAAACAGGAUUAGAUACCCCGGUAGUC